UACGUAGGGCGCAAGCGUUUAUCCGGAAUUAUUGGGCGUAAAGAGCUCGUAGGCGGCUUGUCACGUCGGGUGUGAAAGCCCGGGGCUUAACCCCGGGUCUGCAUUCGAUACGGGCUAGCUAGAGUGUGGUAGGGGAGAUCGGAAUUCCUGGUGUAGCGGUGAAAUGCGCAGAUAUCAGGAGGAACACCGGUGGCGAAGGCGGAUCUCUGGGCCAUUACUGACGCUGAGGAGCGAAAGCGUGGGUAGCGAACAGG
rnacentral:rRNA from 1 species